GAGGGCAUGAGACUGUAGUAUUUAAUUUUGACUUCUGAAGCGAUAUUAAAAUUAAUAAUAUUUUAAUGAUAUUAACAUGUGUAUCUGACAUGUUUGCUUGAAGUAGGAUUUAAAGCGAAAAGAGGUAAUUAACCUUGUUGCCCAAGGUGACAAGCCAAGUGGAGGGGGUGAAUUGGUUUCCUUAAAUUUUUACUAUCUUAAUUUAGUUAAUCGAUGAAUGAGUGAAAUUUAGAAACAAUACACAAUGCAAACACACAAGAAGCAUAGUGGUUCAGUGCUCUCCUAAGCACCUACGUCCACUCCCCAAGCGACCUCUUGGAAAUUCACUAUAAUCCAGCGGAUUACAGUUGGAUUGUUUUUCGGGCUCAUAAUCCAAAAAUCUUUACACUUUGGUUUUCCGGGAUCACCAAGAACCUAUGUUGGUUUUACGGGCUCACCAACGAACCUUUACAAUUGGUUUUAUGGGCUCACCAACAAACCUAGACGGUUGGUUUUACGGGCUCACCAACAAACCUUGACCGUUGGUUUUACGGGCUCACCAACAAACCUUUACAAUGUGAUUAAAAGGAGAAGAAAGUUGAAACUCCUAGAUGAGCAAAUAUAACAAUUAUAAGCUACAAAGAAGAGUUUAGAAUAUAGUUAUCGCUUGAUGAGACUUCUCUCUUCUUUAUCAAGAAUGCUUCACUCUU
rnacentral:lncRNA from 1 species